rnacentral:tRNA from 1 species
AGUAAAAUGGCUGAAGAAGGUGAUAAAUUGUAAGUUUAUUUAUGGAAGAUAUUCCUUUUACUA